rnacentral:sRNA from 1 species
GCAUUUGACACUCGACAUCCUCGUGCUUCUUAAAGCACGUGCCCAACGGUGAGCAACGGCACCCAACGGUGCCCGAGGGACUCGCGCUGCCCGUUAAGCAGCUUUGCAGUGGCGGAGGCUGGGCUGCCAUCUCUCCGACAUCCCGGGACAGAGGAAGAGAUGAAGGCUCUGCAGCCCCCGCCGUCCGAUUUACGCUUGAGGAAGCGAAGGCGAGAGAGGUCGUCUGCGGGGCCAGCCCAGGGCUGCCGGGGGGGCCCUGCCCUAGAGAGCCGGGCGCGGGCUGCAGGGCCUGGCGGCCUGGACGGCGGAGCGUUGAAAGCUCCCCCAGGGAUAGGAAGUGCAGCCGAAAUCAACGACUGAGGGUCUGAGCACCUCCCUCAUGCAGGCUCCCAAGUUCACCAUGCUGAGAAAGACCUGCGGGAGACAGCAGGAGGACAGCUGGGGAAUGGGCCCGCACGUGCCCAGGUGAGUGCUGUGGGGAGUCAGGCCAGCCCUGUGGAGAAGGCCACGGGAAAGGGGGAACUGAUGCUGCCCUUCCUUAUAAAAAGGGCCACCCAGUCCAUGUAGCUGAGGAGCAGCACCAGGCAGGAUCUUUAAUGGGACU